GAUGAACGCUGGCGGCGUGCCUAAUACAUGCAAGUCGAGCGAACAGACGAGGAGCUUGCUCCUCUGACGUUAGCGGCGGACGGGUGAGUAACACGUGGAUAACCUACCUAUAAGACUGGGAUAACUUCGGGAAACCGGAGCUAAUACCGGAUAAUAUAUUGAACCGCAUGGUUCAAUAGUGAAAGACGGUUUUGCUGUCACUUAUAGAUGGAUCCGCGCCGCAUUAGCUAGUUGGUAAGGUAACGGCUUACCAGGGCAACGAUGCGUAGCCGACCUGAGAGGGUGAUCGGCCACACUGGAACUGAGACACGGUCCAGACUCCUACGGGAGGCAGCAGUAGGGAAUCUUCCGCAAUGGGCGAAAGCCUGACGGAGCAACGCCGCGUGAGUGAUGAAGGUCUUCGGAUCGUAAAACUCUGUUAUUAGGGAAGAACAAAUGUGUAAGUAACUAUGCACGUCUUGACGGUACCUAAUCAGAGAGCCACGGCUAACUACGUG
rnacentral:rRNA from 1 species